AUUGAACGCUGGCGGCAGGCCUAACACAUGCAAGUCGAACGGUAACAGGAAGAAGCUUGCUUCUUUGCUGACGAGUGGCGGCCGGGUGAGUAAUGUCUGGGAAACUGCCUGAUGGAGGGGGAUAACUACUGGAAACGGUAGCUAAUACCGCAUAACGUCGCAAGACCAAAAAGGGGGACCUUCGGGCCUCUUGCCCUCGGAUGUGCCCAGAUGGGAUUAGCUAGUAGGUGGGGUAACGGCUCACCUAGGCGACGAUCCCUAGCUGGUCUGAGAGGAUGACCAGCCACACUGGAACUGAGACACGGUCCAGACUCCUACGGGAGGCAGCAGUGGGGAAUAUUGCACAAUGGGCGCAAGCCUGAUGCAGCCAUGCCGCGUGUAUGAAGAAGGCCUUCGGGUUGUAAAGUACUUUCAGCGGGGAGGAAGGGAGUAAAGUUAAUACCUUUGCUCAUUGACGUUACCCGCAGAAGAAGCACCGGCUAACUCCGUG
rnacentral:rRNA from 1 species